CGUCUAGGCGGUCAGGCAAGUGGGAUGUGAAAUGCCCCGGCUCACCCGGGGACCGGCAUCUCAUACUGCUUGGCUUGAGUACGGGAGAGGAUGUGGGAAUUCCUGGUGUAGCGGUGAAAUGCGUAGAUAUCAGGAGGAACACCGGUGGCGAAGGCGCACAUCUGGCCCGAUACUGACGCUGAAGCGCGAAAGCUAGGGAGCAAACG
rnacentral:rRNA from 1 species